rnacentral:lncRNA from 1 species
AUGAUACCCAGGCAAAGGAUGCAACAUUCUUUCUUUCACUGUGCUUUUUCAUCCUACCAGCAGAAGAACACCUUUGUCUCUGAACCUGGCUGCAGCAUGAAGGGAGGAAGAGGGAGAAUGCUCNNNNNNNNNNNNNNNNNNCCUUUGAAUAGAAAAAAAAACUAUCUCCAUGGAACCACUGUCUCCCUGGACACCCCCUCACCCCUACAGUGUGGAAAUACGAGAAGUAAUAAUGGAGUGAAAGACAGGGCUGGAGGAAGAGCCACAAAAGCCUGACAUGUGGAAAGGAUGAAGAGCAAAUGAUACGGGGAAGGACAUAGAGGUCAGAGAGCCCCUGUGAGGUGGGAAGGUGGGAAACAGAACUGGCCAUGUCCAGGCACCGGAAGGGCACACGCAGCCUCUGGCAUAAUGAAGGAGAGAGGGGCGCUUCAGGGGAUUCCUGAAAAUCCCCUGAAUGGGGAUUUGAAGAAUGGGAGAGUGAUAGAGCAGACCUUUGCAAGAGACAGACAAAUACAAGAACUGCUUCGUGUAAGGAAUGAGGAUGGCCUAAAAAACAUGAUCCUGAAGUAUUUGUCACCCUGAAUAGUGACAAUUUAUUACCAUAUGAGACUGCCUGAAAAAAAUAAUCCUACGUGAGCUUACAAACAACCUUUGCAUUAAAAGUAUAACAAAUAAAAGUGUUGGCAACAGACUGUUGUUAUCUCCU